CUACACUCCACUGUACUACAUCAAGAACGGAGAGACGGACUACUGCAUUAGAGUUGAGGUUGGUGUGAAUGAGAUGAUUGAUGUCUCUGGGAAGUAUGUUGCUGGUAAUGCUAUGAGAGUUAAAGCCAAGGCCGUCACCAAAGAUAUUCCAAUGACAAUUUAACUUUAUUAUUAUUUAGAUCCAUACCAAGUACUAAUAGCUCCUUCAUUUUAUUUUUGUGCUUUUUUAACUAUUAUUAUUAUUAUGGACAAUUGUAGUUAAAACUAUCAUUAAUUCUAUUAUGAGAAUAAUAAACUGCUGCCAUAAAUGAAAUAGAUAGUUACUCACUCCUGCUCUGUGUUGUGAUAGCUACAUCUCCCACCAUUAAAGCUGUACUAUCACCACUGGACUACAAGCUGUUCCAUUCACUAGUAACAAGUUAUUCAAUAAGCUGUGACAUUCUCUGACCCUCAAGUGAAAAGAGGUAAUGGCUAGUGUUGAGAGUGUAGCUACUGUACCAGAGAGUGUAGCAAAAGAUAUCAGUGACCCCACCACAGCUACCAGCACUGAACAAAGUAUUGUCACUAAGGCUUGCUGUUAGUAUAUCAAUUGACAGUGUCUCUGUUUAUAUUUAGUAUAAUAAUGUGAUGCUUUCUAUUCAGAGUUUGCUUCAUUAACAAUAACAUUAAUAAUAAUCAGUUAGUACUGAUAUAACAAUCAUUAGUACCAGGUCAAGUCAAAAGUUGAGCAGGCCACUAAAGACAAGUACAGUACUUUCAACUGCUCACAAAUACAAGGAAACAUCUACCUAAUCAUGGUUGAUGUAGGUAAGGGUCGUUAUGUUGAUGUGAAGAUUGAUUACCGGUUUGGGAAAAAUACUUUAAAAACAGCAACAGCUGCUGCCAGUGGAAUGGAUGCUCCACUCAAGUUGUAGACAUUAAAAAAAGAAUAAACAGAAUUAAUUAUUACUAGUAAUUGAUCAGUUUUUGGCAAAAUAA